rnacentral:tRNA from 1 species
UGGUUCAGUCGGUAGAGCACCAGACUCUUAAUUUGGCUGUCGCGGGUUCGAGCCCCUC